rnacentral:rRNA from 1 species
CAAUAGCGUAUAUUAAAGUUGUUGCAGUUAAAAAGCUCGUAGUUGGAUUUCUGGUUGAAGCGACCGGUCGGGCGUUGAUUCGUCUGCACUGGAGUCGGUUUUGGCCAUCCUCUAGGAAAGUGCGUCUGGUAUUAAGUUAUCGGGCGUAUGAUCCUGGUCUUUUACUGUGAAAAAAUUAGAGUGUUUAAAGCAGGCCUUCGCCUUGAAUACAUUAGUAUGGAAUAAUAAGAUAGGACUUUGAUCUAUUUUGUUGGUUUGCAGACCGAAGUAAUGAUUAAUAGGGAUAGUUGGGGGUAUUUAUAUUCCGAUGUCAGAGGUGAAAUUCUUAGAUUUUCGGAAGAUAAACUUAUGCGAAAGCAUUUACCAAGGAUGUUUNCAUUAA